rnacentral:lncRNA from 1 species
AUCUUCCUAAUGUAUUCUUGGAGCUUGGCUGUUUCAUCCUGGAUAGUGGAUUUGAUGUUUACUAAUCCUCGGGCCUCUCUUCUUCAGUCUCUUAGGGUGCUGGAUUUGGGGUGAAACCCUCCAUGCAUGUUUAUAUUAUUUUAUUUUGGAUCUAGGGCAACCCUGGACCACCAGGUAUGCCUGGUCCUGAGGGCCGACCAGGAAAAGAUGGAACCCCAGGAAAAGAUGCUGAGCCAGGUCCACCAGGUUCACGUGGAGAGCAGGGUCCCAGAGGCUACAGAGGAGAAAAAGGCAGCAAAGGGGAUCUGGGGUUAUCAGGGAGAAGCCGGACCACAGGGAAACAGAGGACAAAUGGGACACAAGGUCAGAUUCAGCGUCUGGAGGAGAACUGCUUCUAAAACUACAUCUUAUUGCAAAUAAUGUGUUUGUAACCAGGGAAAUAAAG